rnacentral:rRNA from 1 species
GAUUUCGGGUGGGUUCUAGCGGUCCGCCUAUGGUGAGUACUGCUAUGGCCUUCCUUUCUGUCGGGGACGGGCUUCUGGGCUUCACUGUCCGGGACUCGGAGUCGACGUGGUUACUUUGAGUAAAUUAGAGUGUUCAAAGCAGGCUUACGCCAGAAUACUUUAGCAUGGAAUAACACGAUAGGACUCUGGCCUAUCUUGUUGGUCUGUAGGACCGGAGUAAUGAUUAAGAGGGACAGUCGGGGGCAUUCGUAUUUCAUUGUCAGAGGUGAAAUUCUUGGAUUUAUGAAAGACGAACUACUGCGAAAGCAUU